UACGUAGGGGGCAAGUGUUAUCCGGAUUUACUGGGUGUAAAGGGAGCGUAGACGGAAUGGCAAGUCUGAUGUGAAAGGCCGGGGCUCAACCCCGGGACUGCAUUGGAAACUGCCAAUCUAGAGUGCCGGAGGGGUAAGUGGAAUUCCUAGUGUAGCGGUGAAAUGCGUAGAUAUUAGGAGGAACACCAGUGGCGAAGGCGGCUUACUGGACGGUAACUGACGUUGAGGCUCGAAAGCGUGGGGAGCAAACAGG
rnacentral:rRNA from 1 species